rnacentral:lncRNA from 1 species
UGAUUUUUCCUUUCUUCUUUCAGUUAGUUCUGCGAUUUUCCUUUCAGUCUUUCAGUCUUUCAGUUUGUGCGAUUUUCCUUUUAAUCUUCUUUCGGUUUCUUCUCUUUCAGUUUUGCGUGAGAAUAGGUAGCCACAGUUCGUUUUUUUUUUUUCAAAAUUUUUUCUUUUUUUUUUGCUUUUAAUAAUACACACACAACCACAGUCUUCUUCUUCUUGAUUUGCUCUACUCAAACUGAUAGACUUUGUUGGAUGAGCUUUCUUUCCAUGACCCCAUUGAUGUGAUGACUCUUUAAACUUAUGUUGAAUCAAUUGCAGUGAGUUGUAUUCAUGUUUAGGAAUUGCCUUUUGAAUUGAAUCUUUGAGCUUGCCAUGGUGAAAAAUAUAUUGAUGACACUCAUUAGAGAGAAUGAAUUGAAAGUUGUGUGAAUAAAUUUAAUAUGACUUGUUUU